rnacentral:lncRNA from 1 species
AGAAAGAUCUUUAGUGUGAAGAUUCAAUUAAAAUGUUUUAAUAUUUAAGGAAUAAUUUAAAUUUAACUCAUAGUGUAGAUGUCUUAAGGAAAUAAUCCAUAGGCAAAAUAAAAACAAUAUAUACAUCUUUUUUUUUCCUAAAAAAGUGUGUGCUCCUAUCAUGUCGCUCGUUCGUCUUAACCUGUAAAAUAAACAAAGAAACAAAAAAUUAAUAAAUAAAGCUGAAAAAUCCAAUUCCAACACUACAACAAGCGAACAGUGCUAUAACAGCAGUCGGUAAGACCGUUGAC